CAAUCCCAUCAGAAACCAGACCACACAUCUGGACAUCAGCAAACUCUGUCAACCAUGUUCAGGAAUCUGAGACGGCAGUGAUGAACACGUGUUUCAGCUCUGAACAAUGAUUAAACUUUCUCUGAUUCUAUUUCUCACAAAUUAUGCUCUGAUCACAACAAUUUCAUCUGCCUUUUACACUUUAUUACUGAUGUAUAUAUAAUGUGAUUUUAUUUUUUUUAUAUUUCCUCUAAAUGAUCUUCCUCUAAUGAGUUUAUUGUGAUCCUGAAUGAAGAAUACUCUAGAUUAUCAAAUAAUGCUUUCUUUAGUAUGAACAUGUUUUCCCCCCUCUCUCCACAUCCGCCUGCCCUUAUUAUUUAAUAUAUACUUACUAUUAAUUGUCAUUUGUUUACUCUGUUAACUAAUUUAUUAAUGCAUUGCCUCAUUUUUAUUUAUUUAUGGAAUCAUAACAUCGGGUUUUGGGAAAACAAUAACCAAUGUAAAAUGUGUUUAUUUU